rnacentral:rRNA from 1 species
ACUCCUACGGGAGGCAGCAGUGGGGAAUAUUGCACANGAUGGGCAGCAAGCCUGAUGCAGCCAUGCCGCGUGUGUGAAGAAGGCCUUCGGGUUGUAAAGCACUUUCAGUAAGGAGGAAAGGUUAGUAGUUAAUACCUGCUAGCUGUGACGUUACUUACAGAAGAAGCACCGGCUAACUCCGUGCCAGCAGCCGCGUAAUACGGAGGGUGCGAGCGUUAAUCGGAAUUACUGGGCGUAAAGCGUACGCAGGCGGUUUGUUAAGCGAGAUGUGAAAG